rnacentral:rRNA from 1 species
CAGUAGCCACGGGAAUACAGAGGGUGCGAGCGUUAAUCGGAUUUACUGGGCGUAAAGCGUGCGUAGGCGGCUUUUUAAGUCGGAUGUGAAAUCCCUGAGCUUAACUUAGGAAUUGCAUUCGAUACUGGGAAGCUAGAGUAUGGGAGAGGAUGGUAGAAUUCCAGGUGUAGCGGUGAAAUGCGUAGAGAUCUGGAGGAAUACCGAUGGCGAAGGCAGCCAUCUGGCCUAAUACUGACGCUGAGGUACGAAAGCAUGGGGAGCAAACAGGAUUAGAGACCCGCGUAGUCCCUGUCUCUUAUAC